rnacentral:lncRNA from 1 species
AAGCAAACGCUGGCUUGGAGCUGAAAUGGAUGAAAAUCUUGCCAACUUUUUAGCAGCAGCCAAAACAUUCUCAUUAAAAGUAUAAAUAACUCCAACCCUAAAGCCUGGAAGAGAGAGAUCCUUCGAAAGACCAUACACUAUAUGGACUCUUGUCCGAUCAAAAUCUUCAGAAUCAAUUAUCUCUGCCAAACUGACAAAAUCUUCACUUCCAUGAGUGGAUCCUGCCAAUAUUUCAUUGGAAAUGAGGUGAAUAUUCUUCUCUGUUGCAAAGUCCAAAAGACUAUAAAGUGUCUCUCGAUUGAACAAAUUGCCCACAGGAUUUGAAGGGUUCGAAAUUAUGAUCCCACGAACUUUAAGCCCCCGUUUCCUUGCUUGGUUAAAGGUUCGAUCAAGAGCAGUAGUACUCAGACAGAAAUUGUCAGCACUGCGGCAAGGUAUGGGUAUAAUUUCGACACCUGUUCGCCAUUUUACAUCCCUGUCAAGACUGGACCAUAACUUAUGACAUCAGUGCCUGGACAAAAGAAGCUGAUGACCAGAGAUAAAUAUUCUGUGAACAGUCAAUUAAUCUUACUCGGGAUAAUAUGGUGAUGGAACAAGAAAUGCAUUUCCAGGAUCAGCUAAGCAGAAACUGAGAAUUUCAAUUGCAGGGGUUGCACCAGCUGUCAAAACAAUUUGUGAAGGGUUGAAGGAUACUGAUUUGUCCAUUACUUGAGACAUGAAUCCAGCUACUGCCUAUAAGACUAGUGAAAUCAGCAUAUACAGCAACAAGAUAAAAAGCAAGUCCAAGCACCGUACACAUGAUUGCAAGUCAGCUAAUUGAAGAGACAAAUUGGAUAUCCUAAUAGCUGGAAGCUAUAAGAGCUACGCCUAGAGCCAAAAGUAAGCUAUAAGAGCUACGCCUAGAGCCAAAAAGUCAAACUUUAUCCGAGUCCAUGUUAAUAGUAACCUGUGGACUUAUUGCCCGAAUAAUUACGUUUAAGACUCCAAAAGUGGCAGGGGGAGAGAAAGUGCUACUACAAGAAGCAGAAACAUAUUCAAAACUAUCAUCUUUUAACUAAAGUGAGUUAGCAACUAGUGUUCAUUAAGCACAUCUGUCAAUAUCAUAAUUAUGCAGACACAGUACUUUGGUUAGGACACUCAGUAAUGUCAAAGCCAUUAUUUACAAGUGACAAGUCACAUACAACAAAUUGUAGUGACCAAACUUGUAAUUCAUUGUUUGAAAACCACAAUUGAUGGGACCAUUCCAAAAGAAUUUGGGAGUAUUGAAUGGCUCCAAGCUCUGGAUCUGCAUAAUCUGGGCAUCAGUGGUGAGAUACCAGAUGAGAUAACCAACUGCAGAUUUCUUCGUGAGCUGUGAGUCCAAUUUUUCUAUCCAAUUCUCUGUCUAAAUUAUCCAUAUUGCUUUCACUCUGUGUUUGAAUGGACUUUGUAAUGUUGCUGCAGGGAUGUUUCUGGAAACUCGUUACGGGGCAGCAUACCGCAAAACCUCUACAACAUGUCAUACCUUGUAAUUCUUGACCUACGUAGCAACCAGCUUAAUGGGAGCAUACCAUCCACACUUGGAAAUUUGUCUAACUUACAUUCUUUAGAUUUGUCACAAAAUAUUUUAUCAGGACAAAUCCCUUCUAGUCUGGGAAAUUUGAAAAAUUUGACUCACUUCAAUGUCUCUUAUAAUAACCUUUCUGGGGCUAUUCCUUUGGUACAAAGCAUCCAAGGAUUUGGAUCUUCAGCCUUUUCAAAUAAUCCAGGCCUCUGUGGUGCUCCAUUGGAGACAUCAUGUGCACCCAAUGGCACCAAAACUGAAACAGGAAAGCCAAAGUUGAGCCCUUCAGCCAUUGUUGCUAUUGUUGCAGCUGCUGUGAUCCUCACAGGUGUCUGUGUGAUAACAGUGAUGAACAUCAAGACUCGCAGGGGGAGACGAGAAGAUGAAGCAGUGGUUGUAGUAGAAAGCACUCCACUGGCAUCAACAGAUUCAAAUGUCAUAAUCGGAAAGUUGGUUCUGUUCAGCAAGGCUUUGCCCUCAAAGUAUGAAGAUUGGGAGGCUGGUACUAAAGCAUUGCUGGAUAAGGAGUGUCUAAUUGGUGGGGGUUCCAUUGGAACAGUGUACAAAACUACUUUUGAGGGUGAGAUCUCUAUUGCUGUGAAGAAGCUUGAGACCUUGGGAAGAAUCAGAAACCAAGAUGAGUUUGAGCAAGAAAUUGGAAGAUUGGGAAAUCUUCGACACCCAAAUCUUGUUGCUUUCCAAGGUUACUAUUGGUCCUCCAGUAUGCAGUUAAUUUUAUCUGAAUUUGUUCCAAAUGGAAAUCUGUAUGAUAAUUUACAUGGGCUUAGUUAUCCUGGAACCAGCACCGGUGCUGGUAAUCCUGAAUUAAACUGGUCAAGGAGGUUUCAGAUAGCCUUGGGUACUGCCAGAGCCCUAGCCUACCUUCAUCAUGACUGCAGACCUCCUGUUCUUCAUCUCAAUGUCAAGUCCACUAACAUUCUCCUUGACGACAACUAUGAAGCUAAAUUGUCCGACUAUGGUUUGGGGAAGUUACUUCCUCUGCUGGACAAUUUUGGGCUAACCAAUUUUCACAAUGCAGUUGGUUAUGUUGCACCUGAGUUAGCUCAAAGUCUCAGACUAAGUGAUAAAUGUGAUGUUUACAGUUUUGGCGUAAUUAUGUUAGAAUUAGUUACUGGAAAGAAACCUGUGGAAAGCCCGGCAGCAACUGAGGUGGUGAUUUUGUGUGAAUAUGUUAGGGAUUUGAUAGAAAGGGGUACUGCUUCAGACUGUUUCGAUAGAAGUUUGCGUGGUUUUGCAGAAAACGAGCUGAUUCAGGUUAUGAGAUUGGGAUUAAUUUGUACUUCUGAAGUGCCUACCAGGAGGCCAAGCAUGGCUGAGGUAGUUCAGUUUCUUGAGUCCAUCAGAAAUGGUUUAGGCUUAUAGCAAGUCAACAGAAAGAACUGUUGGACAACCAUGGCAUUCAGAGUACAUGUGGGGUGAUUAGGAGUUUAACUUUUUCAGUAUAAAGAUACAAAAGAUUCUUUUGUAUUCAUUUUGUGAUUCAUCAUCAUCAAUUGUUCCCUGUAAUUCUGCAAUAAAUUCAUUCGUUUUUUUAUCAUCUCUCGAUGCAAUCAGAGAAGAGUUUGUAGCAACUCAUUCUCUUCCAUCUGCUUUUAACUCAGCAUUUCUAUACUGGUACAUAAACUGCUUUCCUAGACUCCUAAUAUCAAUACUAACAUCUUCUUAAGCCGAGGGUUACCAGCUUCUUCACUGGGAUAUAUGUUUUUAUCUCAUUGCCCUGUGGAUUUAGUUCCAAGAAUACGUAGGCAAGGAAGAUGCUAUUUGCUGCAAAAUGCUCCGUUUCUGCAUCAAGCUUGAAGAUGUCAAUUUAUAGUGAAGAAAUGAAAGCGCUUGGUUGUUUUUAUCAUAUUUGGUCAUCCCGUGGACACCAGAAUUUCCACUACUUUGAGUGAGAAGGAGAUAGUAAUUAAUCACUUUAACUCAAUUGUUGCACAAAAUUGAUUGCAGAGGAAAGAGAGUGACAUAACCAAUUCUCUGUCCUAGACAAAUGUAAGAGUUCUUCUAAACUUAUUAUUACUACCAGAAAAAGGUCGUGACUUGCUUUUUGCAUCAGCAUUAAAUGACCUAUUUACAAUUUCAGAUAUUUAAGGCAAAUAAACUCUUCGAUUUUGCAAUAGCAGAAUGAAGAAACCUACUAAGACACAUCAAGGCCUUGUAGACACUCAGCUCAUGAGUACAUGAUACUGUUCAGGCGUGCCAGAAAUGUUUUGACUCCGAGUUCCUGCCAGAACUGUUCCUGUCAGCUCAUGAGUAUCUCCAUCUCUGAAAUGAACGGAAGACACUUCAUCUUUAAACAGCCAGAACUGCAGACAAAACCAGAUCAUCAAAUGCAGCACGGGUCUCCAAUUCUAAGUUCCUCCACCAAUUGUUCCCAAACAAUCUGAUAUCUUCAAAUCAUCCCUCAAUGAUUCCCCUCAUCUGGUCUGGUUCUGACGUAGCCUGAAACUCACAGAAUUCUACAAGAGGACAUCCUCCAAAGAAAUUGUAGGGUUUUGAUUCUUUAGCUGAAUGAGCAAAGCAAUAUCAACUCAACUACGAGAUUUACAGAUUUCAGAAACUUUCCUAAUACGAUCCAUGACUACAGGAAUAUCAUUUUCGCUCAGGGUGGUGAAGCAUAAUCUGAACCAACCAGGUUCAAUACAGUGACAGGAAGAUCCGGGAGUAACAUUAACCUUACCCACACUCAAAAGCUUAUCCCAAAGCUCAAGUUCUCCUUUUUCAUUAUAAGAUCUGAUUAGCCCACUCAUGUCCAUCCAACAGUAGAAACCUCCAUUACUCUUCAUGCACUCAAUUCCCAACUGCUUUAGUCCGGUAACAAAUGCAUUGUACAUCCUUUCAAGUCUUUCCCGAUUAUUCUUCAUAAACAAGUGGAUGAAUUUUGUGUCUGCCAGCAUUGAGAUAAGCAAACGCUGGCUUGGAGCUGAAAUGGAUGAAAAUCUUGCCAACUUUUUAGCAGCAGCCAAAACAUUCUCAUUAAAAGUAUAAAUAACUCCAACCCUAAAGCCUGGAAGAGAGAGAUCCUUCGAAAGACCAUACACUAUAUGGACUCUUGUCCGAUCAAAAUCUUCAGAAUCAAUUAUCUCUGCCAAACUGACAAAAUCUUCACUUCCAUGAGUGGAUCCUGCCAAUAUUUCAUUGGAAAUGAGGUGAAUAUUCUUCUCUGUUGCAAAGUCCAAAAGACUAUAAAGUGUCUCUCGAUUGAACAAAUUGCCCACAGGAUUUGAAGGGUUCGAAAUUAUGAUCCCACGAACUUUAAGCCCCCGUUUCCUUGCUUGGUUAAAGGUUCGAUCAAGAGCAGUAGUACUCAGACAGAAAUUGUCAGCACUGCGGCAAGGUAUGGGUAUAAUUUCGACACCUGUUCGCCAUUUUACAUCCCUGUCA